UACGGGGGGAGCAAGCGUUGUUCGGAUUUACUGGGCGUAAAGGGCGCGUAGGCGGCCACCGCAAGUCGGUUGUGAAAUCUCCGGGCUUAACCCGGAAAGGUCAAUCGAUACUGCGGGGCUAGAGUGCAGAAGGGGCAACUGGAAUUCUCGGUGUAGCGGUGAAAUGCGUAGAUAUCUGGAGGAACACCGGUGGCGAAGGCGGCAUCUGGACCGUAUAGUACGCUGAGGAGCGAAAGCUAGGGGAGCGAACAGG
rnacentral:rRNA from 1 species